rnacentral:misc_RNA from 1 species
GAUGAAGAACGCAGCGAAAUGCGAUAAGUAAUGUGAAUUGCAGAAUUCAGUGAAUCAUCGAAUCUUUGAACGCACAUUGCGCCCGCCAGUAUUCUGGCGGGCAUGCCUGUUCGAGCGUCAUUUCAACCAUCAAGCCCCAGGCUUGUGUUGGGGACCUGCGGCUGCCGCAGGCCCUGAAAACCAGUGGCGGGCUCGCUGUCACACCGGGCGUAGUAGAUUUUAUCUCGCUCAGGGCGUGCUGCGAGUUCCGGCCGUUAAAAAGCCUUUUUUACCCAAGGUUGACCUCGGAUCAGGUAGGAAGACCCGCUGAACUUAAGCAUAUCAAUAAGCGGAGGA